AAGCUACUCCCUCCGUCUCAUAUCAAGUGACUUUCUAUUACAUGUAUCUAGACACUAUUUAGGCAUAGAUACAUCCAUAUUUGGGCAAAUUUGAGUCACAUAUGAGACGGAGGGAGUAGCUU
rnacentral:pre_miRNA from 1 species